GCUGGCAUGGUGUAGUGGUUUAAACAUCAGAUUAUGACUCUGGAGACCAGAGUUCCAAUCCCAGCUCAGCC